rnacentral:rRNA from 1 species
CAGCAGCCGCGGGAAUACGUAGGGUGCGAGCGUUAAUCGGAAUUACUGGGCGUAAAGCGUGCGCAGGCGGUUCGUUAAGACAGAUGUGAAAUCCCCGGGCUUAACCUGGGAACUGCAUUUGUGACUGACGGGCUAGAGUAUGGCAGAGGGGGGUAGAAUUCCACGUGUAGCAGUGAAAUGCGUAGAGAUGUGGAGGAAUACCGAUGGCGAAGGCAGCCCCCUGGGCCAAUACUGACGCUCAUGCACGAAAGCGUGGGGAGCAAACAGGAUUAGAUACCCCGGUAGUCCCUGUCUCUUAUAA